ACCAAACUGCACAUAGAAAAACAUAGCAUUUCUGAAGAACAUUCUUAGAAUUUAUAUUCUACACAAUAGAACAGCUGUGGCAGUAACAGGACCCUUGGAGAUGAAGGAACCUGAUGACAAUCUGCACAUGACUGAGACUAUUCUACACUGACUGAAUGACUGCAGACUGCUACUUCUUUAUUUCAGACUUGACAUGAAGAAAAAGGACAGAGUGGGAAGAAGAUUUCACGCUGAAUUGCAUCUGGAGAAAUUUUCCCCCAAGUCUGAAGAGAUAUUACAAGAAAACAACAACAAAACAAAAAGCAACCAAACACCAAGAAGACAAUUACAUUUGUUUCUUUUUUCUUUCUAAAUUUCUAUUUUUAUUGUCAGGCAAAUGUAUUGUCAGCAAAUACCCAAUAGAAACUACUGAAAUUGCG
ensembl:lncRNA